rnacentral:rRNA from 1 species
UACGUAGGGAGCAAGCGUUGUCCGGAUUUAUUGGGCGUAAAGAGCUCGUAGGCGGUUCGGUAAGUUGGGUGUGAAACCUCCAGGCUCAACCUGGAGACGCCACCCGAUACUGCUGUGACUAGAGUCCGGUAGGGGAGCGUGGAAUUCCUGGUGUAGCGGUGAAAUGCGCAGAUAUCAGGAGGAACACCAGCGGCGAAGGCGGCGCUCUGGGCCGGAACUGACGCUGAGGAGCGAAAGCGUGGGUAGCAAACAGG